ensembl:snRNA U6 U6 spliceosomal RNA
GUGCUCACAUCGGCAGCACAUAGACGAAAAUUGGCAUGACAUGGAGAAGAAGAGCAUGGUCCCCGUGGAAGGAUGACACACAAAUUCAAAAAGCAUUCCAUAUUUUA